rnacentral:rRNA from 1 species
UGGGGAAUAUUGCACAAUGGGCGCAAGCCUGAUGCAGCCAUGCCGCGUGUAUGAAGAAGGCCUUCGGGUUGUAAAGUACUUUCAGCGGGGAGGAAGGCGAUGCGGUUAAUAACCGCGUCGAUUGACGUUACCCGCAGAAGAAGCACAGGCUAACUCCGUGCCAGCAGCCGCGGUAAUACGGAGGGUGCAAGCGUUAAUCGGAAUUACUGGGCGUAAAGCGCACGCAGGCGGUCUGUCAAGUCGGAUGUGAAAUCCCCGGUCUCAACCUGGGAACUGCAUCCGAAACUGGCAGGCUUGAGUCUCGUAGAGGGGGGUAGAAUUCCAGGUGUAGCGGUGAAAUGCGUAGAGAUCUGGAGGAAUACCGGUGGCGAAGGCGGCCCCCUGGACGAAGACUGACGCUCAGGUGCGAAAGCGUGGGGAGCAAACA